AAAUUGUUUAUCUCAUGCCCUACCCCACCUACGAACCACAAUCUACGAACAAAAAAAAAAUUAACUGGCUACUACAAUUUUCUCUCCCUCUCGACGCCUCAACGGAAGAAAAAAAUGAAGAAGCCGCGGAUUGACGCCUGCAAUUAGUGAGGAAUGUAUGUUAUUGCGGUCCGACAAUUUUAAUCGUCAUUGCAGUCGACCCACCAGAACUCCCUUGCACUAUCUAAGAUUUGGAUGUCUUGGAUUGAAGAUUGAGAAUACUUAUAUCUAGAUUGGCAUGGGGUUAUCUAAAGAUGCUAGCAGCAACUCCUGCUCCUGUUCAGAAUGACACUAGAGAUGAUGAACCCUUGAAUGAAGAUGAUUGCGAUGACCUGGAUGAUGUGGGUCAGGGGGACGAUUUAAACACCACACAUUUGGUUUUAGCUCAAUAUGACAAGAUGCCCCUUUGAGCAAGGGAGAUUGAAAUCCUUGCUCAAUAUAGGAGCCAAAUGAGUUUGUUAGUGGCAUGUACCACUUAUGUUUGGGAAAUGGCUACACGAGGAGUUGGAAUAGCUCUAAAACAACCCAGCAACAAGAAGGUUUGGAUCUCUUCUUACUGGCCUCAAAUUAGUUUAAUACUGUAGUUAGCAGUUAAAAUAAUGAGUUUCACAGGCUUGUGUAAAAGAUAAAGAGUGUUGGAUGUUGUGAUAGGUAUGUUCUUUUGCAUACUUUUUUUGGAUUAACUUUUUAGUAGUAAUUUUAUGAUUGAUUUAGUUUAUGAUUACUACCAAUGGUAUUUGAAGAUGCCUUGAUGAAAUGGUUGCUCCACAUUGGUUUCACUAUAUAAUGUAGUUUUGCUUCAUUAAUAUUUAAUAAUUGAAAUUAGAUGUUUGAAAUCUAAAGUGUCAUAAUUUUUUUUUCAGGUACAGAAGCUAUCAAAAUGUCAAAUUCUUGUAGUCAAGAUUUUAGCCAACUUUUUUCACCAGAGAAAUUUGAAGAGUGCAACCUGUUGCCGACAACCUACUCUAUUUUUUUUUCUUUUGGAGAUAGUUGAUAGGAUUUAGAGCUAUUUUCAUAGCAUAUAGGAUUUAGAGUGCAAUCGGUUGGUUUAAGUAUUCUACUUUAUUUAUUAUUUAUAAUUGUAACAAAAUUUGAAUUGAUGUUUGAAAUGAUUAUAAUAUUGAUGUUAUAGUUAAAUA